CGGGUCAAGUCCCUUGGAACAGGGCGCCACUGAGGGUGAGAGCCCCGUAUCCGCCCGGACCGCCAUCGCCGCCGGAAGCCCCUUCGACGAGUCGGGCUGUUUGGGAAUGCAGCUCCAAGCGGGAGGUAAAUUCCUUCUAAGGCUAAAUACCGGCCGGAGACCGAUAGCGCACAAGUAGAGUGAUCGAAAGAUGAAAAGCACUUUGGAAAGAGAGUCAAACAGCACGUGAAAUUGUUGAAAGGGAAGCUCUUGCCGCCAGACCGGCCGCGGUCGUCGCAGCCGCGCUCCCACGCGCGGCGUAUCCGUCCGCGGUAGGCCAGCGCCGGUUCGGGCGGUCGCAUAAAGGCCCCGGGAACGUGGCCCCCUGCGGGGGGUGUUAUAGCCCGGGGUGCAAUGCGGCCAGCCCGGACCGAGGCACGCGUUCGCUAGGGCGCUGGCGUAAUGGCCGCAAGCGACCCGUCUUGAAACACGGACCAGAGUUAACAAACGCUAACGCGAAGCUGCUGCAGAGGAGUCUAACAUCUGUGCGAGUGUUUGGGCGAAUAAACCCAUACGCGUAAUGAAAGUGAACGGAGGUGGGAACCCUCUAACGGGGGCGCACCAUCGACCGAUCCUGAUGUCUUCGGAUGGAUUUGAGUAAGAGCAUUUAUGUUGGGACCCGAAAGAUGGUGAACUAUACUUGGAUAGGGUGAAGCCAGAGGAAACUCUGGUGGAGGCUCGCAGCGGUUCUGACGUGCAAAUCGAUCGUCAAAUCUGAGCAUAGGGGCGAAAGACCAAUCGAACCAUUGCAGACCAUGGCGUGGGCGCUCGAACGAGCCCCGCGGCCGGUGCAGCUACUAGGUGGUUAAGAGAGUGCCGAGGACGGUGUUCGCGGCGCUCUAACCGACGUUCCCGGAGAAAUCCUGGGCGCGACGGCAAUGUGGCCAACGUGCGGGAAAGUCCCCCAGGGAGCUAGCGCGAUACCGCCGCUAGGGGCCUUUUCACAAAGAGAGGCACCUGCGGCACCGGGCCUUGCCAGGUCCGGGUAGGGUCAUAACUCGCCGUUCCCGUCGCAAAUCGGGGACAACCUGCAGCCGUCAUAUGGCCUCGCCCACCGCGAGGACCGGGCGGUUCACAGACUAGACGGCCAUAGGCGGCGAAAGCGCCGUUCAAGAUAUAGUCGGGCGGAUCCACCGACAAACAGCGGUGCGAUCGAUGGCAGGCAGUGGAACCCAAGCCGCUAGUAGCUGGUUCCUGCCGAAGUUUCCCUCAGGAUAGCAGUAACGCCUUCAGUUUUAUGAGGUAAAGCGAAUGAUUAGAGGCCUUGGGGUUGAAACAACCUUAACCUAUUCUCAAACUUUAAAUAUGUAAGAAGCCCUUGUUGCUUAGGUGAACGUGGGCCUUCGAAUGUACCGUUACUAGUGGGCCAUUUUUGGUAAGCAGAACUGGCGAUGCGGGAUGAACCGAAAGCGGGGUUAAGGUGCCGGAGUGGACGCUCAUCAGACACCACAAAAAGUGUUAGUUCAUCUAGACAGCAGGACGGUGGCCAUGGAAGUCGGAACCCGCUAAGGAUCGUGUAACAACUCACCUGCCGAAUGAA
rnacentral:rRNA from 1 species